rnacentral:tRNA from 1 species
GGCACUGUGGCAUAGUGGGUAAGGCCACAGCCUGCAGUGCUGGAAUCUUCUAUGGGUGCCGGUUUGAGUCCUGCCUGUUCCA